rnacentral:rRNA from 1 species
UACGUAGGGUGCAAGCGUUAAUCGGAAUUACUGGGCGUAAAGCGUGCGCAAGCGGUUGUGCAAGACAGAUGUGAAAUCCCCGGGCUCAACCUGGGAACUGCAUUUGUGACUGCACGGCUGGAGUGCGGCAGAGGGGGAUGGAAUUCCGCGUGUAGCAGUGAAAUGCGUAGAUAUGCGGAGGAACACCGAUGGCGAAGGCAAUCCCCUGGGCCUGCACUGACGCUCAUGCACGAAAGCGUGGGGAGCAAACAGG